CGACUUGUACUGUGAAACUGCGAAUGGCUCAUUAAAUCAGUUAUGGUUUCUUUGAUGGUACCUUGCUACUUGGAUACCCGUAGUAAUUCUAGAGCUAAUACAUGCAGGAGUGCCCGACUUCGGAAGGGCUGUAUUUAUUAGAUAAGAAACCUUCUCGGGUUCGCCCGGUUGUGUGCUGAGUCAUAAUAACUGCUCGAAUCGCACGGCUCUACGCCGGCGAUGGUUCAUUCAAAUUUCUGCCCUAUCAGCUUUCGAUGGUAGGAUAGAGGCCUACCAUGGCGUUAACGGGUAACGGAGAAUUAGGGUUCGAUUCCGGAGAGGGAGCCUGAGAAAUGGCUACCACAUCCAAGGAAGGCAGCAGGCGCGUAAAUUGCCCGAAUCCUGACACAGGGAGGUAGUGACAAGAAAUAACAAUACAGGGCUACUUCUAGUCUUGUAAUUGGAAUGAGUACAACUUACAUCUCUUCACGAGGAUCAACUGGAGGGCAAGUCUGGUGCCAGCAGCCGCGGUAAUUCCAGCUCCAGAAGCGUAUAUUAAGGUUGUUGCAGUUAAAACGCUCGUAGUCGGGUUUCGGGUCGGGCCGAGCGGUCUGCCGAUGGGUAUGCACUGUUUGGCGCGGCCUUCUUUCCGGAGACCGCGGCUACUCUUAACUGAGCGGGCGUGGGAGACGGAUCGUUUACUUUGAAAAAAUCAGAGUGUUUC
rnacentral:rRNA from 1 species